GAACUUUUGUGUCCGUGGUUAAAACAAAAUGUUCAUGCACUGAGUAGUUGGUCCCCUGACGUAAGUGUAAUUUGGGUGUGCGUCACGGCAGAUAUGUGUCCAAAUUCAGGGUCUACCCUUCAGAGGACGCAUUUGAAGGAUGUUACGUCACAGCGCCGCGACGAAGGCUGUCCAAAUUCGUAGGAUCCUUCCAUAGACAGUAAAAGAAAUGGACACAGCGACCCCAUUGGAACUCAAUUGAGACAAAUGAAGCCCAGUUUUAGCGUUUUUUUAGCACUUCCGUUUCUGACGCGCAGACUUAAACGAAGCUUGACGACGUCAGCAACCUGUCUGACAGAUGUAAAUCGUCUAAGUGGCUGUGAGUGCAAACUGCCAUCGUUAAUUUUGCAGAGACGGCAAGCUUGAGCGGGGAGUUCUUUGUCGUGAGUGAGCAGGAGUUUGUUGAUCUACAGCUGUGUACCUGAAAGUGCGGCUGGUUGAGUAUGCUUGACAGCUCUGCGGCGGUGUUGCUGCGGUGUGUAAAGGGGCUCAGCUCUCUCAGGAUGUCCUGCACCAGCUCCACAUUAUUGUCCCUCACGGCCUUCAGUCGUGUCUCCUCCAGACUCUGAGCACUCUAAGAGAUCAGUAUGUUUGGGGCUGAAAACUGACCACUGGGCUCUCCAUGAUGCCCUUGAGGAAGAUAAGAUCCAGGUCAUUGGCGGUGGCGGAGCUGGUGCUGUCACUCAGCGUGUCCAACACCUGCAGCACUGCUGGAGGGAAACGACAGAGACCUGAUUAUGCAUCUUCUCUAUUGUUUCUUCUGUGGAUUUAUGAAAGAACUGUUAUUUGGGAUUCUCUGUCAUCUUGCUUUCCUUAGAGCACCAAUACGUUACAUGGACAUUGUUAUUGGAUACAUAAACAUAGAGUGCAAAAAGUUGUUUUAUGCAUUAAUUUCAUAAAGUCUGCAGGGCCAAAAACUCUCUUAUAUAUGAUAAUACUUACAAUGCUCUGUGCUGGUGGCU